AGUGAACGCUGGCGGUAGGCCUAACACAUGCAAGUCGAACGGCAGCACAGUAAGAGCUUGCUCUUACGGGUGGCGAGUGGCGGACGGGUGAGGAAUACAUCGGAAUCUACUUUUUCGUGGGGGAUAACGUAGGGAAACUUACGCUAAUACCGCAUACGACCUACGGGUGAAAGCAGGGGAUCUUCGGACCUUGCGCGAUUGAAUGAGCCGAUGUCGGAUUAGCUAGUUGGCGGGGUAAAGGCCCACCAAGGCGACGAUCCGUAGCUGGUCUGAGAGGAUGAUCAGCCACACUGGAACUGAGACACGGUCCAGACUCCUACGGGAGGCAGCAGUGGGGAAUAUUGGACAAUGGGCGCAAGCCUGAUCCAGCCAUGCCGCGUGGGUGAAGAAGGCCUUCGGGUUGUAAAGCCCUUUUGUUGGGAAAGAAAAUCAGCAGGUUAAUACCCCGCUGUUCUGACGGUACCCAAAGAAUAAGCACCGGCUAACUUCGUG
rnacentral:rRNA from 1 species